CCUACGGGGGGCUGCAGUGAGGAAUAUUGGUCAAUGGCCGGAAGGCUGAACCAGCCAUGCCGCGUGAAGGUCAGUGCCCUAUGGGCGUUAAACUUCUUUUGUGCGGGAGCAAUAAUGGUCACGUGUGGCCAGACGAGAGUACCGUACGAAUAAGCAUCGGCUAACUCCGUGCCAGCAGCCGCGGUAAUACGGGGGAUGCAAGCGUUAUCCGGAUUUAUUGGGUUUAAAGGGUGCGUAGGCUGUGAGGUAAGUCAGCGGUGAAAUGCCCCCGCUCAACGGGGUGAAGUGCCAUUGAUACUGCCUUGCUGGAAUGCGGAUGCCGUGGGAGGAAUGUGUGGUGUAGCGGUAAAAUGCGUAGAUAUAUGGAAGAACACCAGUGGCGAAGGCGGCCGCCUGGCCUGUUACUGACGCUGAGGCACGAAAGCGUGGGGAGCAAAUAGGAUUAGAUACCCGGGUAGUC
rnacentral:rRNA from 1 species